rnacentral:lncRNA from 1 species
UUUUUUUAACAGCCAACUAAUGGCUACCCUGAUUAAGUAGGUCCUUUGUUUAUCCUCCUUCUUCCCACACCAUUUUAUAUGGUUUACAUUUCAGUGUUUAUAAAUCUCGAGAGCAUUUACUUUUAUUUAUAAAUGCAGUAGGAAAAAAAAGAAGGAAUAACAUUUCAGCAUGGAAGUAUUUUUUCUGUGGUUGACCUGGAUCCUGCCAGGUCACUUUCCAAAAAAGUGUUGCUGCCUUGAGAAAUUUACCAACCUAGGAAAAAUUACUCCAUAUUCAACCUUCUACCUAAUGUCCAAGCCAGUCACCUAGUUAUCUUAGUUCAUGUCUCCUCACCAUUUCACUUCUCUCUGGUCAGUCCCAGACAAGGUCAAUCCAGUCUCCUAAAUAUCUUUUGAAUCCUAACUACCUCCAUGCUCUUGUUUAGGUUCCAACUAGGUAUCCUGUGAGUGCCGCAGCCUGUCACACCUCCCUAGAGCCAGUUUUAAACCUCCAUGCUGGAGCCAGAUUUGGCUUUCCAAGGUGCAGACCCCAACACCUCAUGCCUCUGCUUUAAAAUCCUUCAGAGAUUGUCCCUCACUCUUGGUUAAAACCCAAUUUUUAAUUUUUAAAUAUUUUGCAGAUUUGGGAAUCAAUUCCAGGGCCUGGUCCAUGUUAGGGAAACAUUCUACCCUUGAGCUACAUCCCCAGCCCAAGCCCAAAUUUCUGAUUGUGAUUUUAAGACCUACAUCAUCAACAACCAAGUCCUCUGUCUUGUCUCCCAUUGUCUCUUCUGCACUCUGUGCUGCAGCCAUCUUUUAAACAUGCCUUACCCUUUCUAAGGCCUCUCAGCCUCUGACCCUGCUAUGACUCCUACCCCCACACCUCUGUGUUCCCUCCACCCUAUCACCUUGGUAAUUCCUCCCCAUCUUUUCAUUUUUCUACUGAGAUAUUACUUCUGGAAUCGUCCUCUGAGAUCCUUGGGUUCUAGGUUCACUGCCCUUCAUUCUGAUUCUGAUACCAACCUGCAUUUCCUCUCUCAACAGCCCCUGUGCUCUGCUGGCCUAUCUCCUCUGCUAGGCUCUCUGGAGCAUCACAGGUCAUGAUGGUGUCGAUCACUGUCACCUCUAAUCCUUGCCUAGCAUAAUGCAUAUCUGUUACAUAAAUGAACAACAGGGUGUGGGAACCCAGUCUUUUUCAGACUGUCUCUAGGGUGAUAUUUCAGGAUACACUAAAGAAGACUGAAGUCAGUGCCAGAAUAGCUUUCCAAGUGUUGGGAAAUUCUCAGUGUAAAGACCAUUUGCAGAAGAAAUGGUUGAAUGCUGAGAGUAUUUUGAAGGUUGAAUGAAUAGGAUGUGCUGAUGGAUUGGGUGGUGGGUGUGAAGGACUCCACAAUUGCUUGAUGCAAUUGUUCAUGAAAACAUAAUAUUGCAGUUAUGGCUAGGGUUAUUAUGAGGAUCAAAUGGCCUAAUGACAUGCAUUGUGAAGUUUCUACCUAACCAAGUGCUGGGCAUUUAUAGUUACUCAGUAAAAUUAUUUUCCUGAUUUUUAAGUGACUUAGUAUCUUGUCCAGGCCAAAAAAAAAAAAAAAAAAAAAAAGAAAAAAGAAAAAGAAAAGAAAAACAAACAAACAAACAAAAACCCAGUGUGUUAUAACAUGUCACCAAUCCUAAGCAAAACUAUGCAGCAGGUGAAGUUGACAUCCCCUGUCUGCCGGAACUGCUGCAGCCUCGCUCUCAUUCCACACAGAGUCCCUCAGGCACCUCCAGCUCUCCCACUGGGAGCUCUUUUCACUCUUAGGCUGGUUUUCCCCCCCUCUCUGAUGGGAACUGCUUUUUUUUUUAUUGUUUUGCACUUUGCUUCUACUUCUCUGACUGUUGCUAUGUGUGACCCCACUAUUUUUCUGUGACUAAGUGUAGAUAUCACAGCAUAAAGUGCUAGGAGCAUUUACUCAGCUGUCAGAGCACUGGGUUUGAUGCCUGGCAUGACCUCUCUUGACCUUUUGGACCUUUGGUGAAUGUGGACCUUGCUGGUCCUCAUUUUUUCCAUAUGUAACAUGGGAAUGGAAAAUCUUAACCUUGUGAGCGCUGAAUAAUUGUUAGCCAUCAUGAGUCGCAAUGACCUCAGCCAAUUUUAUGGAACUCUACCACUUCUGUACCGCUUCUUGAAUCCCUGCACUCCCCUCUUCUCGUCCCUCCUUUGAUCAUAUUUUCACUUAGAUGUCCCACAGGAAACCCAAACUCAAAAUUCAAAACCAAUCAUAGCACCUUCCCUGCUGGGCCAAGCUCCUCUCUUUUUGCAGCAGGAGGCUUUGGCUACAAUAGAAAGCCCAAACAGAAGUGGCUUGAAGCACAAGGGAAGUUAUUUCUGUCCUGUGACAAGAAGCCUGGAGGUUGGAUGAAUCCAGCAUUAGGUGAUUCAGGUGCUCAGUCCUGUCCUGAGCCACUGGUCCUUUCCAUCUUCUCAGCAUUUUUGACUUAUCCUUUAACUUGGCUCCAUCCCCUCAAGACAGAAGUUCUGGCAACUCAUUUGCUAGACAAUGUUCAAAAGGGAUUUCCCUUUGCCUUUACUAGAUCCUGAGAAGUCUUCCUAAUGAGAGUCCCAACAGGAGGACUGGAAUUCCCAGUUUCAGCUUAGAUGGAACACAAGGUCCAAGUCCCUGGAGCUAAGGAUAGGAUUCCAUGCCCUGAGCACAUGUCUGUGUGAGGGGCCAACACCUGAGCAGAACCAGGGCUCUUUGGCAAAGGAAAGUAGGGGAUGAAUGUGGGUGGAGAGCUUACAGCGUCUGCUGCAGUGUUUGAAAUAUUUCAUAAUCAGAGAAAAAAAAAAGAUCCAAGAAUGAAGAAUUGAGAGUGACACUGAGUCAGGAAACCAGAUAACUAAGUGGAUGACCAUUGUGGAGAAGACAGCAGGAUGAGUAGGUUUCAUGGGCAGAGUCUUAGUUAAGCUUUAACCAGAUGAGUCAGAGGAUCCUAGUGAAAUGUCUUAGUGGGAAUAUUCCACAGCCAUUUGGAAGGAAUAGCUGGGCUGGAAUUGUAGAUUUCAAAAUGCUGCUCUUCUGAGGACAGAAGCUGUGCUCCUCCCCUUUCUUCUUCUUCUUCUUCCUCCUCCUCUUCCUCCUUCUUCAGAUACAGGGAAUUGAACUUGGAAGGGCUUUACCACUGAGCUACAUUUCCAGUCCUUUUUUAUUUUGAAUCAUGGUCUAAAUUGCAGAGGCUGACCUCAAACUUGUGCUCCUCCUGCCUCAGCCUCCUCAGUUGCUGGGAUUACAGGCACAUGCCACCACCACACCCAAUCCCUUUUCGUCAUUCUUGAAGCUAGGGCCUGCUCUCCUUCCAGGCUUCCUCUUUCUUUAUUCCCUUUCUCAGGUCAUAGUCCUCACCCUCUUCUUAAGAACUGCACUCACUUUUGGUGAAGCCACUGCUUCACUCACUGUCUGCCAAGAGUUCAGUGUAAUGGGAGACAAAUGGCUACCUCCGUUAAAAUUAAUUCAGCAUUUAGAUAGUCAAGUAAUUCACUUGAUCUACUUUUCUAAAAGUUCAUGAAUCAUUAAAUUUCAAAAACCAAAACAACCUCCAAAUUGAAAUCUUUCCACCCCCAAGUCCAGGAAAUCGUGGUAAGUACACAGUUAUUUGAAGGCACAUUGAAAAGCACAGACCUACCUUAUCAUCCUCAUUACCUACAGGUAGUGGGGAUGGGCUAAGUGAAAGGUGAGGGUGAGCAGGACAAAGCAGGAGCAGCCGUGUGCAGGGGGAGAGGUGUGAGCAGCAGGCAGCUGGAGGAAUGUGGCCCAAGGUGUGUGCAGCACUAAGAAGUGGUGGCAGGAUAGAACCGUGGCCCCAGACCAGGAGCCCAUGACAGUGGAUUCCUGAUAAGUCUACAGCUAAGAGUGCGCAGAGCAGACAGGGAGGUCAAGGAAGGAAGAAAGGCAGGGGAGCAGCCAGCAGGAGAAACACAAGGGCAAAUGCAGAGUUCUAGAAUUCAGUCAGGAGGAUGUAGGUGGAUCAGACAUACUGGGUGAUUUUUCACAGGAAAUUUAAUAGCAAACAUACCUUAUAUACAAACAGAGAUAUGACAAAUUGUGGUAUAAAGGUGCAUUAAGAAUUGUAAUGUAAAAAAUAAUAAGAAGAAAGCUCAUGUAUAUGGCAUAAUUUAGUGUGAACAUACUUUAUAUACAGAGUUACAAAAAAUUGUGCUGAGAAUGGAUGAUUAUGAUUUUAAUACAUUCCACUAUUGUCAUGUAUGUAAGAAAUUUUUAAAAAAAGACAAAUAUGAUACCAGUGUAACAGGAAUCUCCAUUUAUCUAUAGAAUCUGAAAUAAUUUGGUUUCAUCUCAAAGUUGCCUAUAACAAAAGUUAAUAAU